GAAUCGCGAUAGGAAGUGCGAAUUGCAGAAUUCAGUGAAUCAUCGUAACUUUGAACGCAAUCUGCGCUCUGGGGGCGACCCAGAGCAUGCCUCUUUGAGUGUCGGUCAAACCCUCCCGGUCUCCGGGGAGCUGCGAGUCCGCGGGGUCUCGCCAAGUCGGGGAGCAGGGCUGCGGGCUGCGCGGGCGCGUCUGAAUGGAGCUGUAUAGUUGCAUGCGGACUCGCCGAGGCGGGCCAGUGGCUGCGUCCAGCUGUGCUGUCUGGCGUCUAUCUGUCUAGCGCGCAAGCGUUAGUAGCUAGCGCGACGGCGGCACGGCACACCAAGACCAACGACCUCAAAUGAGGUAGGACUACCCGCUGAACUUAA
rnacentral:misc_RNA from 1 species